rnacentral:rRNA from 1 species
UACGAAGGGUCCAAGCGUUGUUCGGAUUUAUUGGGCGUAAAGCGCGCGCCGGCGGAUUAGCAAGUCAGAUGUGAAAUCUCAGGGCUCAACCCUGAAACUGCGUCUGAAACUGCUAGUCUGGAGUGUUGGAGGGGGCAGGGGAAUUUCACGUGUAGGGGUAAAAUCCGUAGGGAUGUGAAGGAACACCGGAGGCGAAGGCGCCUGCCUAGACAACUACUGACGCUGAAGCGCGAAAGCGUGGGGAGCAAACAGG